GUUCAGUCAUAAAUAAAUGUCCACAUCGUCAGUUGAUUCGAAGUUCUCUUGUACAGAAAUGAAUACUUCACUGGUUCUUCUACUUUUCACAAUCUUUUAUGUUGAGAGCACAUUUGCGGCUGUUCAACGUUAUCCGUUAGGCGAAGGAAAGGCUUCGAUAAAAGAAAUCGAUCUGUUCAAUAAACAGAGUCCCCGCCGAAUAGUCACAGGUGAUUGGAUUGUAGGCGAAGUGACAUUAUCAACCGAUUUACAUGUUAAACCAAGGACAUUUCAACCUCGCCGAAAAACGAAUUAAAACGUAAAUUGGGUAUAGCGUAGGACCGUUUCUAAUAAACCCCUAAUCGGUGAAUUGGAUUAAUUGGUUAUGGUGAUGCAAAGUGCGGUUAUUUCCUCUAAUUUGUUUUUGUCAAAACAGAGACUGCAUCUAGAGUCAUUGUGAAGUGUAGCGAAUUUAAUAAAAUUGGAACUUUUGGAGGGUGA